rnacentral:tRNA from 2 species
GGGCGCAUAGCUCAGUUGGCUAGAGCCACCGGCUCAUAACCGGUCGGUCGUAGGUUCGAGUCCUACUGCGCCCACCA